CAGAAGCACAGGCAAGGCACGUGGACCAGCUGCAGCUUUCCUGAAGAACAUGGGUGGGACUCAAAGAACGGAACAAAGGAUGGACAUACGCGGUUAUUAGUUCAGAAUGAGCUGAGUCCUAGGGGAGGAGUCCCCCAGCCAGGAGGAAGUCACCUUUCUUGGGUGAAAAUGAAGCGCAGAAUGCUUAGAUCAGUCGGCAAGGUCAGGCCUUGCCUGGAGAAGCUCAGUAAGAAUUCCUUUUGCAUGACUCACACAAGUUUGAAAUAACAAAGGAAACAUGAGGCCUGGGAAAGAUACAGGUGGAUAUUAUUCACUCUGGUCCUACAAGUAGCUAUGCUUCGAACACUCAAAUUAGUUGCAGGAGAAAACUUCUGCCAAGGAUAACCAAGAACAUCACAGUGCUGGUGCGUCGAAACAUGUAGAGAAUGAGUUGGAAGAUUAUGACAAAUCAAAGUCACCUUUCAGAUCAAAGGGAUUGAAUCUGAGAAGAGUGUGUCACUAAGGCUCACAGGACCUGAGACUAUUUUAGAGCCUGAUUUGGGGUGCAUAAAGCAGGUACAGGGGACCCUUGAACACCACGGGUUGGAACUGAGUCCACGAGACAGAUUUUCUUCUGCCUCUGCCACCCAGGAGACAGCAAGACCAACCUCUCCCCUUCCUCCUCAGCCUUCCUCAAUGUGAGGAUGAUGAGGUGAAGAUCUUUAUGAUGAUCCACUUCCAGUCAGUGAAUAGUAAAUAUACUUUUCCUUCCUCAUUGUUUUAACAACA